CGGAGAGUUUGAUCCUGGCUCAGGAUGAACGCUGGCGGCGCGCCUAAUACAUGCAAGUCGAACGCUUUGUGGUUCAACUGAUUUGAAGAGCUUGCUCAGAUAUGACGAUGGACAUUGCAAAGAGUGGCGAACGGGUGAGUAACACGUGGGAAACCUACCUCUUAGCAGGGGAUAACAUUUGGAAACAGAUGCUAAUACCGUAUAACAAUAGCAACCGCAUGGUUGCUACUUAAAAGAUGGUUCUGCUAUCACUAAGAGAUGGUCCCGCGGUGCAUUAGUUAGUUGGUGAGGUAAUGGCUCACCAAGACGAUGAUGCAUAGCCGAGUUGAGAGACUGAUCGGCCACAAUGGGACUGAGACACGGCCCAUACUCCUACGGGAGGCAGCAGUAGGGAAUCUUCCACAAUGGGCGAAAGCCUGAUGGAGCAACGCCGCGUGUGUGAUGAAGGGUUUCGGCUCGUAAAACACUGUUGUAAGAGAAGAAUGACAUUGAGAGUAACUGUUCAAUGUGUGACGGUAUCUUACCAGAAAGGAACGGCUAAAUACGUGCCAGCAGCCGCGGUAAUACGUAUGUUCCAAGCGUUAUCCGGAUUUAUUGGGCGUAAAGCGAGCGCAGACGGUUAUUUAAGUCUGAAGUGAAAGCCCUCAGCUCAACUGAGGAAUUGCUUUGGAAACUGGAUGACUUGAGUGCAGUAGAGGAAAGUGGAACUCCAUGUGUAGCGGUGAAAUGCGUAGAUAUAUGGAAGAACACCAGUGGCGAAGGCGGCUUUCUGGACUGUAACUGACGUUGAGGCUCGAAAGUGUGGGUAGCAAACAGGAUUAGAUACCCUGGUAGUCCACACCGUAAACGAUGAGUGC
rnacentral:rRNA from 1 species